GGAAGCAGAACUCGAUGGUAGAGUAUCUCCCUUUUAAGGAGAGAGUCCUGGUUCAAGUCCAGGUGUUUUCA
rnacentral:tRNA from 1 species